UCUCUGUCUACCAUGUGAAGGCAGUGAGAAGGCAGCCGUCUGCAAGCCAGGAGGAGAACGCUCUCCGGGAACCUGAUUGGUGGUCUUGGACUUCCGCCCUCCAGAAAUGAGAAGAAGCUAACAUCCGGUUUCAUUAAUACUGCUUGAAUAGAGGCAUCCAAGGAACAGGUCAUGAAGAUAAUCUCUGGCUUCUCUCCAGUUAAAAGGAACGUACACCAAUUCCAAGCCCACACUAGGUGCUGACCAUGCACCAAAGACUUCCCAUCUCACUCCUCUCCUGGAUGGAUAAGGCCUUGUCCUUUCUUUCCUAGUUCCCAGGAAUGAUGGCAAAACCA